GUGUGACCAGGAUUCAGGAAUGCCCGGGAGCCACUGUGGAGACUGCCCAGCACAUGGGCACAGGCAAGGCCCGGGGACCUGAGCUUCAACCUAAUGGGAGCCCCUGGAAGUCUGUGUCAUGAGAGGACAAGAGCCAGCCCCCUGCCCAGCUCAUUUUGUUGGAGAUCCUUGAAGGAAGAACAUGUUUGCGUGUUGCAUCCCCAAGUCCGGAGGCUGCAGGCUGAGGAAAGCGCACCCUGCAAACACUUCCCCUCGCUGGGGAUGUCGUGCCAGGGCUCCCCGACGCCUCUGGCCAUUUGGCAGGAAGGACCAAAAGGCCACAGAUGAGAUUGGGAAGAGGCUGGCAGACAACUGCCCCAUGUCCCUGGCAGAGGGAGUCCCCUCACAGUGGUCUCCAGAAGCAGGGACUGGGGACUGCCCGGGAUGGCCUUUAACUGCCCAGGCCACUGUCCCUGGUGGUCCCUCAUCUCACUGCGGUCCAAGAGCCGGUGCCCACGGAGGCCGAGCCUGAGGCUGCUCCACCAUCUGAGGAUCUAAAGCCGGCUCCAAGUUCAUGGGCAGGGGUGGUGCCUGCAGCGACUUCAGCAGGAGACCAGGAGCCAACAGGUGACCUGGCACCUGCCCACGGAGAGCCUG